rnacentral:rRNA from 1 species
UACGGAGGGUGCAAACGUUGCUCGGAAUCAUUGGGCGUAAAGCGCACGUAGGCGCCUGACAAGUCGGGUGUGAAAGCCCUGGGCUCAACCCAGGAAGUGCACUCGAAACUGCCAGGCUUGAAUAUGGAAGAGGGUCGCGGAAUUCCCGGUGUAGAGGUGAAAUUCGUAGAUAUCGGGAGGAACACCAGUGGCGAAGGCGGCGCCUGGGCCAAUAUUGACGCUGAGGUGCGAAAGCGUGGGGAGCAAACAGG